rnacentral:rRNA from 1 species
AUUGAACGCUGGCGGCAUGCCUUACACAUGCAAGUCGAACGGCAGCACGGGAGCAAUCCUGGUGGCGAGUGGCGAACGGGUGAGUAAUAUAUCGGAACGUGCCCAGUCGUGGGGGAUAACGUAGCGAAAGCUACGCUAAUACCGCAUACGAUCUAUGGAUGAAAGCGGGGGAUCGCAAGACCUCGCGCGAUUGGAGCGGCCGAUAUCAGAUUAGGUAGUUGGUGGGGUAAAAGCCUACCAAGCCUUCGAUCUGUAGCUGGUCUGAGAGGACGACCAGCCACACUGGAACUGAGACACGGUCCAGACUCCUACGGGAGGCAGCAGUGGGGAAUUUUGGACAAUGGGCGCAAGCCUGAUCCAGCAAUGCCGCGUGCAGGAUGAAGGCCUCGGUUGUAACUAGCUUUGUACGGUAACGAAACGGCGU